AUAACUCAGUGCAAACUUAUCAUAGGAACUGGGCACAAGAGUCAGCUAGAAAUUCUGCAAGUUAAUAUAGCUCAAAUCCAUAUGGCAUUUACUUCCUGCUGAUACCUCCACUCCAGGAAUCUCUUCAGAAAACUAACCAAGACUCAGAAAGAAAUACAUAACAUGUUCUUUGCUCUGUGUUCUCACAUACCUAAGCCCCAUUUGCAAAAUCAGAACCCCAGAGAAUACUUUGGUGAAGACCAGGAAAUUCUAACUCCAGUUCAACCUUAGUGUUGAAGAAUUUCCUAUUCUGGUAGUCACUGAAAUGAAUCAACCUUCUGUGCUGCAUGCCUCGCAGAAGCACUACUCCCUAAAUGCAUUCAUAUCCCCCUGGACUACAGAUGCCAAGCCACAGUUCUUCUGUGCUACCAGCAGUAAAGUUUGUGAAGUUGGGGCAUAGCUAGUAAUUUUGCAGACUAUGUUUAACCAAAGCACAGUACUGCUCAUAGUUCCACAGCUCUCCUGGCUCUAAAGGGCUGAAAAAGUAGCACAAACAUACUCCAUUUGAUAAAGAAGAUGUGAUUUUGAAUACACAAAGGAAACAGUUCUUUGGAGUAGGAAAGUACAUUUUAAUCUGGUGACUCUCAGCAAACAACUUCACACUGGAUGAAGACAAACUAGAUGACAAUUCUACUAUUCUGGCAAUGAGUUCAUGAGGAAAAGGAAAAACAGAAAAUCCAUUCAUACACACUCUUUACUAAAAUGACACAACUUGCUUUCCUGCCACCCCCUCCCCCCCAUUUGAUGCCUGUCCUUUUGUUGUCUCAGUCUUUUUCAUAUUAAGUUCCUACAUUAGUCAUGUGCUUUUCAGAGCAUCUGAUUGUAUUUUAGCCCACGCAAAAUCAAUUUUAGGAUGGUGCCCCCAUGAAAGAUUUACGAAGAUGCCUCUGUGAGAGGUGGCUGCUUCCAGAUGUGAGUAUAGCACUAGUACAACCACCUCUGCAUUUUAAAUUUUUACAAACAUGUGGUUUCCAUUUUGGUAAAUUCUACAUGUCAGUCAGUUCAAAAGACCUGAUACAUUUUAUAUUACAGUUAUUCAAUAAUAGGCAUUGUCCUGGCAUAGUUCCAGCCCAAGGGCAAGAGAAAGUGUUCUGACUAUGUUGGGAUUUGUUCAGCUCUUCUUCUUAAGUCUACAACAUCCUGAUGAGCCAUAUACACAAUAAAAUCAAAGUCAGUCACAGGAUGAUCUUUAGGUGGUGAACAUCUUGAAAACAAACAAAUAAAAGAAUAAAAAAGGAAGUGUGGGGGAAGGGUGUGCAGUAGGAUAAAAAUCUACAAGUAUGGAUGGAAAAAAUAAGAAUAUGAACUUCUUGUCCAUGGUAAAAAGGGCAUUUCAGCAGGAAGUAUUGAGAUUAUGCAUUGGCAAAAGUAAUGGUGCAUUGAAAUUAAUUGCCAUUAGUAAGCAUUUAUCACUGGAGGAUUUUUAUGAAGAAGAUACAGAAAUCAAUAGAGCUGUUGCUGUUUGGAAGAGGAGGUUGAGGUAGAUAACAUCAUACAUUCUGUUUGGUCAUAGAUGGCGGAAUAAAAAAAA